UUGUACUUUCUUCAGCCACAUGUACACUAAAAUUGGAACCACACAGAGAAGGUUAGCAUGGCCUCUGCACUAUGACUCGGCAUAAAUGCAGCUUCUCUUAUU